GACGAACGCUGGCGGCGUGCCUAAUACAUGCAAGUAGGACGCAGUUGCGAACGGGUGAGUAUCGCGUAGGUAACUACCUAUUAGAGGGGGAUAACUAUUGGAAACGAUAGCUACUACCGCAUACUCGUAGAUGGACCUGCGUUGUAUUAGGUAGUAGGUAGGGUAAUGGCCUACCUAGGCAACGAUACAUAGCCGACCCGGAAGGGUGAUGUGCCACACUGGGAAUGAGACAAGGCCCAGACUCCGACGGGAGGCAGCAGUAGGGAAUUUGCGGCAAUGGGGUGAACCCUGACCGAGCAACGCCGCGGGGGUGAAGAAGGUUUUCGGAUCGUAAAGCUCUGUUGUUAAGGAAGCGGUACUUUACCAGAAAGGGACGGCUAACUACGUGCCAGCAGCCGCGGUAAUAC
rnacentral:rRNA from 1 species